GAGUUUGAUCCUGGCUCAGGAUGAACGCUGGCGGCGUGCCUAAUACAUGCAAGUCGAACGAACAGAUAAGGAGCUUGCUCCUUUGACGUUAGCGGCGGACGGGUGAGUAACACGUGGGUAACCUACCUAUAAGACUGGAAUAACUCCCGGGAAACCGGGGCUAAUGCCGGAUAACAUGUUGAACCGCAUGGUUCUACAGUGAAAGACGGUCUUGCUGUCACUUAUAGAUGGACCCGCGCCGUAUUAGCUAGUUGGUGGGGUAACGGCCUACCAAGGCGACGAUACGUAGCCGACCUGAGAGGGUGAUCGGCCACACUGGAACUGAGACACGGUCCAGACUCCUACGGGAGGCAGGCAGUAGGGAAUCUUCCGCAAUGGGCGAAAGCCUGACGGAGCAACGCCGCGUGAGUGAUGAAGGUCUUCGGAUCGUAAAGCUCUGUUGUUAGGGAAGAACAAAUGUGUAAGUAACUGUGCAUAUCUUGACGGUACCUAACCAGAAAGCCACGGCUAACU
rnacentral:rRNA from 1 species